rnacentral:rRNA from 1 species
UUGAACGCUGGCGGCAGGCCUAACAACUGCAAGUCGAACGGUAGCACACGAGAGCUUGCUCUCGGGUGACGAGUGGCGGACGGGUGAGUAAUGUCUGGGAAACUGCCUGAUGGAGGGGGAUAACUACUGGAAACGGUAGCUAAUACCGCAUAACGUCGCAAGACCAAAGAGGGGGACCUUCGGGCCUCUUGCCAUCAGAUGUGCCCAGAUGGGAUUAGCUAGUAGGCGGGGUAACGGCCCACCUAGGCGACGAUCCCUAGCUGGUCUGAGAGGAUGACCAGCCACACUGGAACUGAGACACGGUCCAGACUCCUACGGGAAGGCAGCAGUGGGGAAUAUUGCACAAUGGGCGCAAGCUGAUGCAAGCCAUGCCGCGUGUGUGAAGAAGGCCUUCGGGUUGUAAAGACUUUCAGCGGCGAGGAAGGGGUACGGUAAUAACCGUCCCNUUG